rnacentral:tRNA from 1 species
UGAGCUAUGGUGUAACGGUAGCACAACAGAUUCUGAAUCUGUUUGUCUUGGUUCGAAUCCAGGUAGCUCAACUA